rnacentral:sRNA from 1 species
CUUAACAAAAUUACCCAAAGAUAAGCAAGGAAAAAUUAUAUCUUCAUUUAAUGAGAUUGUAAAGAAUAUCAAAUAAACCCAGCCAAAAUAAAUUUUGGUUGGGUUUUAUUUU